GACGAACGCUGGCGGCGCGCCUAACACAUGCAAGUCGAAACGAGCGAGAGAGAGCUUGCUUUCUCGAGCGAGUGGCGAACGGGUGAGUAACGCGUGAGGAACCUGCCUCAAAGAGGGGGACAACAGUUGGAAACGACUGCUAAUACCGCAUAAGCCCACAGCUCGGCAUCGAGCAGAGGGAAAAGGAGCAAUCCGCUUUGAGAUGGCCUCGCGUCCGAUUAGCUAGUUGGUGAGGUAACGGCCCACCAAGGCGACGAUCGGUAGCCGGACUGAGAGGUUGAACGGCCACAUUGGGACUGAGACACGGCCCAAACUCCUACGGGAGGCAGCAGGUGGGGAAUAUUGCACAAGUCGGGGGAAACCCUGAUGCAGCGACGCCGCGUGAGCGAAGAAGUUAUUUCGGUAUAGUAAAGCUCUAUCAGCGAGGGAAGAAAAAAAUGACGGUACCUGACUAAGAAGCCCCGGCUAACUACGUG
rnacentral:rRNA from 1 species